AUUGAACGCUGGCGGCGUGCUUAACACAUGCAAGUCGUGCGGUAACAGGCGUAGCAAUACGUGCUGACGAGCGGCGAACGGGUGCGUAAUACAUGGGAAUCUGCCCUUUAGUGGGGAAUAACCCGGCGAAAGCCGGGCUAAUGCCGCAUAAGAUCUUCGGAUGAAAGCGGGGGAUCGUAAGACCUCGCGCUGAUGGAUGAGCCCAUGUCGGAUUAGCUAGUGGUGAGGUAACGGCUCACCAAGGCGACGAUCCGUAGCUGGUCUGAGAGGACGGCCAGCCACACUGGGACUGAGACACGGCCCAGACUCCUACGGGAGGCAGCAGUGGGGAAUAUUGGACAAUGGGGAAACCCUGAUCCAGCGACGCCGCGUGUGUGAAGAAGGCCUGC
rnacentral:rRNA from 1 species